rnacentral:tRNA from 1 species
CACGACGUGCCCGAGCAGCCAAGGGACCAGCCUGCAAAGCUGAGGUUCGCGGGUGCGAGUCCCGCCGUCGUGUCCA